rnacentral:rRNA from 1 species
GAUGAACGCUAGCGGCAGGCUUAAUACAUGCAAGUCGAGGGGCAGCAGUCCCGCAGCAAUGCGGGAGCUGGCGACCGGCAAACGGGUGCGGAACACGUACAGAACCUUCCUUCGAGCGGGGAAUAGCCCAGAGAAAUUUGGAUUAAUACCCCAUAGCAUUACGAAGUGGCAUCACUUUUGUAAUUAAAGAUUUAUCACUCGAAGAUGGCUGUGCGGCUGAUUAGGUAGUUGGCGGAGUAACGGCCCACCAAGCCUUCGAUCAGUAACUGGUGUGAGAGCACGACCAGUCACACGGGCACUGAGACACGGGCCCGACUCCUACGGGAGGCAGCAGUAAGGAAUAUUGGUCAAUGGACGAAAGUCUGAACCAGCCAUGCCGCGUGGAGGAUGAAGGUCCUCUGGAUUG